CUUUAAUUUCUCUUCCUCUCUCUCUCUCUCUCUAUGUUAUUAUCUCUCAUAUCUUCUUCAUAUCUCUACUCUCUUUAUUUUUCAAGUUUAUCUCUCAAAUCUCCGUCAUAUCUCGUUUAAUUUCUCAUCUCUCAGUCUCUGUCUCUCUCUGUAUCUUCUCUCACUUCAUAUCCAACUGUUAGUGCCAAAGAUACCCCAAACAGUGCCAAACUAAGUACCACAGUGCCAGAUAGGAACAGUGACACAGGGGUCUAUCAUGUGACCACAGUGCCAGUUUAUAUAGAGUGCCAGAGUGCCAAACUAAAUAACCCAAUAGGACCCAUGUUAAGAGGGCCACAGUGACAAGUUUGCAUAGAGUGCCAGUGCCAACUAGCUUAUAACCCAAUAGCACCAUGUUAAGAGGGCCACAGUGCAAGCCAGCCAGUCAGCCAGCCAGCAAACCAACCAACCAACCAACCAACCAGCCAACCAACCAGUCAGCCAGCCAGUGAGCCAACCAACCAGUCAGCCAGCCAGCGAACCAACCAGUCAGUCAGUCAGUCAGUCAGCCAGCCAGCCAGCCAGUGUGAUAAGCUUGAGGUUGUUAAAAAAGAUACAAGCAGUAAUAAUUGUUCUUUACAAGAUGACAUUUGUUUUAUUGUUAACAAUUAAAGCAAGAAAUGUUUUUUAUUUUGUUUUUUUAUUAUUAUUAUUAUUAUUAUUCAUUAUUAUAUGUAUGUAUGUGCUUUGCGUCAGCUUGUUACCUCUGUGAGUUGUUUUGGGGGCUAAAUAAAUCGAAGCUACCUAACACAUGUACACCCACAAUGCACACACACACGUCUUUGGCAGCCACACGCACACACAUGCACACACACACACACACGCACACACAAGUACAUCAAAUCAGGAAGGGCCAAAAAUGUUGUCCUGAGGUUUGGUAACGUAGAAGUGAUGGUGAGAAGGAAUAUCAGACACAAAAUAUCUACUUCUUAAUGGCCACACGCUACAAACGGGGAGGUAAUGAUGGCUAGAGUAAUGGUAAUGAUGGGAGGACUUCUUGUUACUGCCACCUACGCACUCACACACACGCACUCACUCACACACACUCACUCAUACACACACACACACACAUACACAGGUCAAUUCUACCUCACAAAUUAAUGUUUCUAUACUUGUCGUUAAUUGGAAAUGUCAAAUUAUCAAGAGUUCACACACACACACACACACACACACACACACACA